GAUGAACGCUGGCGGCGUGCCUAAUACAUGCAAGUCGAGCGAACAGACGAGGAGCUUGUUCCUCUGACGUUAGCGGCGGACGGGUGAGUAACACGUGGAUAACCUACCUAUAAGACUGGGAUAACUUCUGGAAACCGGAGCUAAUACCGGAUAAUAUAUUUAACCGCAUGGUUCAAUAGUGAAAGACGGUUUUGCUUUCACUUAUAGAUGGAUCCGCGCCGCAUUAGCUAGUUGGUAAGGUAACGGCUUACCAAGGCAACGAUGCGUAGCCGACCUGAGAGGGUGAUCGGCCACACUGGAACUGAGACACGGUCCAGACUCCUACGGGAGGCAGCAGUAGGGAAUCUUCCGCAAUGGGCGAAAGCCUGACGGAGCAACGCCGCGUGAGUGAUGAAGGUCUUCGGAUCGUAAAACUCUGUUAUUAGGGAAGAACAAAUGUGUAAGUAACUAUGCACGUCUUGACGGUACCUAAUCAGAAAGCCACGGCUAACUACGUG
rnacentral:rRNA from 1 species